GCCUUCGUGGUGUAAUUGGAAGCACGUUCGGCUGGCAAUCGGGAGGACCAGAGUUCGAAUCCCGGUGAGUGUA
rnacentral:tRNA from 1 species